rnacentral:rRNA from 1 species
UACUAGCGUAGGAGCUAUGGAGAAAGCAUAUUAAAUUAAAAUAAUAUUUUUUCUUCGAAAUUCAUAUGCGGUAAUAAGUAUAAAGGCAUGGCAAACGGGAGAGUAACACAUUGAUAACUUACCCUGAAGACGAGGAUAACCUUGCGAAAGCGAGGAUAAUACUCGAUGGUAUUAAAAAUAGUAUGAUUUUUAAUUAAAGCUCCGGCGCUUCAGGAGAGGUCUAUGGCCUAUCAGCUAGUUGGUAAGGUAAUGGCUUACCAAGGCUACGACGGGUAUCGGGUGUGAGAGCAUGACCCGACUCACUGGGACUGAGAUACUGCCCAGACUCCUACGGGAGGCUGCAGUCAAGAAUAUUCCUCAAUGGGCGAAAGCCUGAAGGAGCGACGCCGCGUGUAUGAAGAAGCCUUUCGGGGUGUAAAAUACUUUUAUUAGGGAUGAAACAAUGACAGUACCUAAUGAAUAAGGGGCUGCUAACCUCGUGCCAGCAGCAGCGGUAAUACGAGGGCCCCAAGCAUUAUCCGGAUUUAUUGGGCGUAAAGCGUCCGUAGACGGUUUGUCGCAUCUCCUGUUAAAUCCUCUGGCUCAACCAGGGGGCUGCGGGAGAGAUGGAUAAACUAGAGACUGGAAGAGGCAAGCGGAAUUGCUGGUGUAGGGGUUAAAUCCGUUAAUAUCAGCAGGAACACUCAAUGCGAAGGCAACUUGCUGGGACAGUUCUGACGUUCAGGGACGAAAGCGUGGGGAGCGAAUGGGAUUAGAUACCCCAGUAGUCCACGCCGUAAACGAUGGAUGCUAAGUAUUGGAAGUAUCGACCCUUCCAGUGCUGUUAAUUUAAGGUAACCCGUUAAGCAUCCCGCCUGGGGAGUACGAGCGCAAGCUUAAAACUCAAAGGAAUAGACGGGGGACCCGCACAAGCGGUGGGGCAUGUGGUUUAAUUCGACGAUAAACGAAGAACCUCACCAAGGGUUUGACAUCUAAGCUGCAUGUCCUGGGAACAGGGAAGGCCUUCCAAGGGUGCUAGA